UACAGAGGUCUCAAGCGUUGUUCGGAUUCAUUGGGCGUAAAGGGUGCGUAGGCGGCGCGGUAAGUCGGGUGUGAAAUCUUGGAGCUUAACUCCGAAACUGCAUUCGAUACUGCCGUGCUUGAGGACUGGAGAGGAGACUGGAAUUUACGGUGUAGCGGUGAAAUGCGUAGAGAUCGUAAGGAAGACCAGUGGCGAAGGCGGGUCUCUGGACAGUUCCUGACGCUGAGGCACGAAGGUCAGGGGAGCAAACGGG
rnacentral:rRNA from 1 species